UGGGUAACCUGCCUCAAAGAGGGGAAUAGCCUUCCGAAAGGAAGAUUAAUACCGCAUAAUAUGUUUUGGUCGCAUGACUGAAACAUCAAAGGAGUAAUCCGCUUUGAGAUGGACCCGCGGCGCAUUAGCUAGUUGGUGAGGUAACGGCUCACCAAGGCGACGAUGCGUAGCCGACCUGAGAGGGUNAUCGGCCACAUUGGAACUGAGACACGGUCCAGACUCCUACGGGAGCAG
rnacentral:rRNA from 1 species